rnacentral:rRNA from 1 species
GAGGUUAAGCGACUAAGCGUACACGGUGGAUGCCUAGGCAGUCAGAGGCGAUGAAGGGCGUGCUAAUCUGCGAAAAGCGUCGGUAAGGUGAUAUGAACCGUUAUAACCGACGAUACCCGAAUGGGGAAACCCAGUGCAAUUCGUUGCACUAUUGCAUGGUGAAUACAUAGCCAUGCAAGGCGAACCGGGGGAACUGAAACAUCUAAGUACCCGAGGAAAAGAAAUCAACCGAGAUUCCCCCAGUAGCGGCGAGCGAACGGGGAGGAGCCCAGAACCUGAAUCAGCAUAUGUGUUAGUGGAAGCGUCUGGAAAGUCGCACGGUACAGGGUGAUAGUCCCGUACACAAAAAUGCAUAUGUUGUGAGUUCGAUGAGUAGGGCGGGACACGUGACAUCCUGUCUGAAUAUGGGGGGACCAUCCUCCAAGGCUAAAUACUCCUGACUGACCGAUAGUGAACCAGUACCGUGAGGGAAAGGCGAAAAGAACCCCGGCGAGGGGAGUGAAAUAGAACCUGAAACCGUGUACGUACAAGCAGUGGGAGCACCUUCGUGGUGUGACUGCGUACCUUUUGUAUAAUGGGUCAGCGACUUAUAUUUUGUAGCAAGGUUAACCGAAUAGGGGAGCCGUAGGGAAACCGAGUCUUAACUGGGCGAAUAGUUGCAAGGUAUAGACCCGAAACCCGGUGAUCUAGCCAUGGGCAGGUUGAAGGUUGGGUAACACUAACUGGAGGACCGAACCGACUAAUGUUGAAAAAUUAGCGGAUGACUUGUGGCUGGGGGUGAAAGGCCAAUCAAACCGGGAGAUAGCUGGUUCUCCCCGAAAGCUAUUUAGGUAGCGCCUCGUGAACUCAUCUUCGGGGGUAGAGCACUGUUUCGGCUAGGGGGUCAUCCCGACUUACCAAACCGAUGCAAACUCCGAAUACCGAAGAAUGUUAUCACGGGAGACACACGGCGGGUGCUAACGUCCGUCGUGAAGAGGGAAACAACCCAGACCGCCAGCUAAGGUCCCAAAGUCAUGGUUAAGUGGGAAACGAUGUGGGAAGGCAUAGACAGCCAGGAUGUUGGCUUAGAAGCAGCCAUCAUUUAAAGAAAGCGUAAUAGCUCACUGGUCGAGUCGGCCUGCGCGGAAGAUGUAACGGGGCUAAACCAUGCACCGAAGCUGCGGCAGCGACACUUAGGUGUUGUUGGGUAGGGGAGCGUUCUGUAAGCCGUUGAAGGUGACCUGUGAGGGUUGCUGGAGGUAUCAGAAGUGCGAAUGCUGACAUAAGUAACGAUAAUGCGGGUGAAAAACCCGCACGCCGGAAGACCAAGGGUUCCUGUCCAACGUUAAUCGGGGCAGGGUGAGUCGACCCCUAAGGCGAGGCUGAAAAGCGUAGUCGAUGGGAAACAGGUUAAUAUUCCUGUACUUGGUGUUACUGCGAAGGGGGACGGAGAAGGCUAGGCUAGCCGGGCGACGGUUGUCCCGGUUUAAGCAUGUAGGCGGAGCGACUUGGUAAAUCCGGUUGCUUAUCAACGCUGAGGUGUGAUGACGAGCCACUACGGUGGUGAAGUAGUUGAUGCCAAGCUUCCAGGAAAAGCCUCUAAGCAUCAGGUAACAUUAAAUCGUACCCCAAACCGACACAGGUGGUCAGGUAGAGAAUACUCAGGCGCUUGAGAGAACUCGGGUGAAGGAACUAGGCAAAAUGGUGCCGUAACUUCGGGAGAAGGCACGCUGGCAUUAGGUAAAGGGACUUGCUCCCGGCGCCGAAGCCAGUCGCAGAUACCAGCUGGCUGCAACUGUUUAAUAAAAACACAGCACUGUGCAAACACGAAAGUGGACGUAUACGGUGUGACGCCUGCCCGGUGCUGGAAGGUUAAUUGAUGGGGUCAGCCGCAAGGCGAAGCUCUUGAUCGAAGCCCCAGUAAACGGCGGCCGUAACUAUAACGGUCCUAAGGUAGCGAAAUUCCUUGUCGGGUAAGUUCCGACCUGCACGAAUGGCGUAAUGAUGGCCAGGCUGUCUCCACCCGAGACUCAGUGAAAUUGAACUCGCUGUGAAGAUGCAGUGUACCCGCGGCAAGACGGAAAGACCCCGUGAACCUUUACUAUAGCUUGACACUGAACAUUGAGCCUUGAUGUGUAGGAUAGGUGGGAGGCAUUGAAGUGUGGACGCCAGUCUGCAUGGAGCCAACCUUGAAAUACCACCCUUUAAUGUUUGAUGUUCUAACUCGGCCCCGUGAUCCGGGGUGAGGACAGUGUCUGGUGGGUAGUUUGACUGGGGCGGUCUCCUCCCAAAGAGUAACGGAGGAGCACGAAGGUUAGCUAAUCACGGUCGGACAUCGUGAGGUUAGUGCAAAGGCAUAAGCUAGCUUGACUGCGAGAGUGACGGCUCGAGCAGGUACGAAAGUAGGUCUUAGUGAUCCGGUGGUUCUGAAUGGAAGGGCCAUCGCUCAACGGAUAAAAGGUACUCCGGGGAUAACAGGCUGAUACCGCCCAAGAGUUCAUAUCGACGGCGGUGUUUGGCACCUCGAUGUCGGCUCAUCACAUCCUGGGGCUGAAGUAGGUCCCAAGGGUAUGGCUGUUCGCCAUUUAAAGUGGUACGCGAGCUGGGUUUAGAACGUCGUGAGACAGUUCGGUCCCUAUCUGCCGUGGGCGUUGGAAGAUUGAGAGGGGCUGCUCCUAGUACGAGAGGACCGGAGUGGACGAAUCACUGGUGUUCGGGUUGUCAUGCCAAUGGCAUUGCCCGGUAGCUAAAUUCGGAAGAGAUAACCGCUGAAAGCAUCUAAGCGGGAAACUUGCCUCGAGAUGAGUCUUCCCUGGGGCUUUAAGCUCCCUGAAGGAACGUUAAAGACUAUGACGUUGAUAGGCUGGGUGUGUAAGUGCAGCGAUGCAUUGAGCUAACCAGUACUAAUGAUCCGUGAGGCUUAACCUUAC